rnacentral:rRNA from 1 species
GAUGAACGCUGGCGGCGUGCCUAAUACAUGCAAGUCGAGCGAACGGACGAGAAGCUUGCUUUUCUGAUGUUAGCGGCGGACGGGUGAGUAACACGUGGAUAACCUACCUAUAAGACUGGGAUAACUUCGGGAAACCGGAGCUAAUACCGGAUAAUAUUUUGAACCGCAUGGUUCAAAAGUGAAAGACGGUCUUGCUGUCACUUAUAGAUGGAUCCGCGCUGCAUUAGCUAGUUGGUAAGGUAACGGCUUACCAAGGCAACGAUGCAUAGCCGACCUGAGAGGGUGAUCGGCCACACUGGAACUGAGGCACGGUCCAGACGCCUACGGGAGGCAGCCGUAGGGAAUCUUCCGCAAUGGGCGAAAGCCUGACGGAGCAACGCCGCGUGAUUGAUGAAGGUCUUCGGAUCGUAAAACUCUGUUAUUAGGGAAGAACAUAUGUGUAAGGAACUGUGCACAUCUUGACGGUACCUAAUCAGAAAGCCACGGCUAACUACGUG